rnacentral:rRNA from 1 species
GACGAACGCUGGCGGCGUGCUUAACACAUGCAAGUCGAACGGAAAGGCCCUGCUUUUGUGGGGUGCUCGAGUGGCGAACGGGUGAGUAACACGUGAGUAACCUGCCCUUGACUUUGGGAUAACUUCAGGAAACUGGGGCUAAUACCGGAUAGGAGCUCCUGCUGCAUGGUGGGGGUUGGAAAGUUUCGGCGGUUGGGGAUGGACUCGCGGCUUAUCAGCUUGUUGGUGGGGUAGUGGCUUACCAAGGCUUUGACGGGUAGCCGGCCUGAGAGGGUGACCGGCCACAUUGGGACUGAGAUACGGCCCAGACUCCUACGGGAGGCAGCAGUGGGGAACAUUGCACAAUGGGCGGAAGCCUGAUGCAGCAACGCCGCGUGCGGGAUGACGGCCUUCGGGUUGUAAACCGCUUUCGCCUGUGACGAAGCGUGAGUGGCGGUAAUGGGUAAAGAAGCACCGGCUAACUACGUG